GACGAACGCUGGCGGCGUGCUUAACACAUGCAAGUCGAACGGAAAGGCCCUGCUUUUGUGGGGUGCUCGAGUGGCGAACGGGUGAGUAACACGUGAGUAACCUGCCCUUGACUUUGGGAUAACUUCAGGAAACUGGGGCUAAUACCGGAUAGGAGCUCCUGCUGCACGGUGGUGGUUGGAAAGUUUCGGCGGUGGGGGAUGGACUCGCGGCUUAUCAGCUGGUUGGUGGGGUAGUGGCUUACCAAGGCUUUGACGGGUAGCCGGCCUGGGAGGGUGACCGGCCACAUUGGGACUGAGAUACGGCCCAGACGCCUACGGGAGGCAGCAGUGGGGAAUAUUGCACAAUGGGCGGAAGCCUGAUGCAGCAACGCCGCGUGCGGGAUGACGGCCUUCGGGUUGUAAACCGCUUUCGCCUGUGACGAAGCGUGAGUGACGGUAAUGGGUAAAGAAGCCCCGGCUAACUACGUG
rnacentral:rRNA from 1 species